GUGCUUGCUUUGGCAGCACAUGAACUAAAACUGGAACAAUACAAAGAUUAGCAUAGCCCCUGUGCAAGGAUGACACACAAAUUCAUGAAGCGUUCCAUAUUUUC